GCUCUUGGCCAGGCAAGCAGUACUUUCUCCAAGGGGACAGUCACCACACUUCCCUGCAACCUGGAAUACGACAUCAAGCUUUUUAUCCAAUACAGAAAUUCACAUCUAGUCAUGUAAAGCAGAUUCCGUAUACACAGGAUGACCGUUACACUGGCAGAAGCAACAGGAAGAGAAGAUGAACGACGACUCUUAUCAGCUAAAUGCCACGAAGACUUCUGAUUAGUGAGGACCCUAGCUACUGCUACUCCUCCACCUGGGGCGAGCACCUUCACCUGCUGACCUGGGGACAGUUGGUCACCACGGUAGGGCAGAUAUGGACGCCCACUGCUGGCUCCUGUGGAAUUUACAGAUGGACUAACCUAGACUAGCAGCAUCAGGUUCACCUCUCCAAGAACUGAAUCCACCUUGGUGUGAGCGUGUCCUCCGUCUCCGCUGUCUGUGUCGUUUUCUGUAUUGUCCAUCCCUGUCUGUUGGCAGGGUCAUGGUUAAUAAUAACAGAUAAUUAUUACCACUACAAUAGUACACUACAACAAUUUUAAGAACAAUAUUAAAAAUCUUAAUGAUAUGAUAAUACGAUUACAAAUACAGUAUGCAUCUUGUGUGGGAGCAUGACACAAUGUACCAGUAACUGUAAUUGGUUGAAACUUUUUUUUUUACUCGAAUUAUCAAAAAGAAACUUUUUCUAUGAAAAGCACUAUCAAUUUUUUUAAUGAAUUUGUAAAAUUACCAAAAAUUAAUGAGAGGAAACCAUAAUUUUAACAGAUAAUGGAAAGUGAUAUACCACAAUAUGACAAAUAAUUUUAAAAUUAAAUACUAAUAUGCUGUAUCAACUUCCAUAAUAUCAUUUUUCAUGACUGAUGUCCUCCCCAAGUGACUGUGUUACAAGGAAACCCUUGUAAACCCUAGAAUUUAGUGGCUGGGACUAAUUCAUUAAUUAGUUAUGUGUCUUAUUUUAAAUCAACCUGUUAAAUGCAUUUCUACUUUACAAGGAAUGUGUUAAUUUUUACAUGAUCAUAGACCCAAAUGUUCCUGUGCUUGGUCUAGCUGUUUCGGUCACUUCGUGGUUUAGAAACAGUGACACUCUUCUGUGGUACAAAUGAUGUGCUUCUUGUUGUAUCAUUAUAUUAAAUAAAGGUGGAAGUUGAGUGUAGUCAUUGGGAAAUAAAAAUUACAACAUGAA